rnacentral:rRNA from 1 species
UACAGAGGUCUCAAGCGUUGUUCGGAUUCAUUGGGCGUAAAGAGCUCGUAGGCGGUCUGUUGCGUCUGCUGUGAAAACUCGGGGCUUAACCCCGAGCCUGCAGUGGAUACGGGCAGACUAGAGGUAGGUAGGGGAGAAUGGAAUUCCCGGUGUAGCGGUGAAAUGCGCAGAUAUCGGGAGGAACACCGGUGGCGAAGGCGGUUCUCUGGGCCUUACCUGACGCUGAGGAGCGAAAGCGUGGGGAGCGAACAGG